rnacentral:rRNA from 1 species
GGAAGGUCCGGGCGUUAUCCGGAUUUAUUGGGUUUAAAGGGAGCGUAGGCCGUCUGGUAAGCGUGUUGUGAAAUGUCGGGGCUCAACCCCGGGACUGCAUUUGGAACUGUAGAGCUAGAGUGUCGGAGAGGCAAGUGGAAUUCCUAGUGUAGCGGUGAAAUGCGUAGAUAUUAGGAGGAACACCAGUGGCGAAGGCNGCUUUCUGGGCCAUCACUGACGCUGAGGAGCGAAAGCUGGGGGAGCGAACAGGAUUAGAUACCCUGGUAGUCCCAGCCGUAA